UACGUAGGGGCGAAGCGUUGUCCGGAAUCAUUGGGCGUAAAGCGCGUGUAGGCGGUCCGGUAAGUCGGCUGUGAAAGUCAAGGGCUCAACCCUUGAAGGCCGGCCGAUACUGUCGGACUAGAGUCCGGAAGAGGCGAGUGGAAUUCCCCGGUGUAGCGGUGAAAUGCGCAGAUAUCGGGAGGAACACCAAUGGCGAAGGCAGCUCGCUAGGACGGUACUGACGCUGAGACGCG
rnacentral:rRNA from 1 species